rnacentral:rRNA from 1 species
GGAGGUAGUGACAAUAAAUCUCAAUACGAAGCCUUUGGUUUUGUAAUUGAAUUGAGAACAAUGUACAAUCGUUAUCGAUAAACAAUUGGAGGGCAAGUCUGGUGCCAGCAGCCGCGGUAAUUCCAGCUCCAAUAGCGUAUAUUAACGUUGUUGCAGUUAAAAAGCUCGUAGUUGAAGUUUAGAUAAUUUGUUGAGAGUGUUAGUAUUCGUACUAUCUGCCCUCAAUAGAUUAUCGACUUCCAGGUAAGCUCAAUAAUCCCUCCGGGGACUAUCGAGCCAGACUGGUCUUUUACUGUGAGAAAAUUAGAGUGUUUAAAGCAGACUUUAUUUAGUUUGAAUAGAUUAGCAUGGAAUAAUAAGAUUGGCUUUCAUAGUCGAUUUUUUGGUUUGUUUAUGAAAGCAAGAUUAAUAGGGACAGUUGGGGGUAUUCAUAUUCAAUAGCUAGAGGUGAAAUUCUAUGAUUUAUGGAAGAUGAACAAGUGCGAAAGCA